GGGGAUGCAAGGUAUCGAUAGAAAUUACUUUCUAAAAUUGCAGAUCGAGAAUGCUAAAAACUCGUAAAAUUUUAGCAAACUAUAAGUGCAAAAACACUUAUUAGCAAGAUAAAGACUGCUUUCGCAGUUCCUCAACUUGCGACUGUUCUAGCUUAAUCCUAGAACCAUCUGAUUUACUGAUUCUCGAUAAGUAAAUUCGGGUGUCAAAUCAUCGAGAUAUAGCAGUUUUUAGUCCUUAAAAACUGCAGAAACCUUAAAAGGACUUUAGUCUUUAAGAUUUUGCUUGUUUUAUACUUAAAGACUGAACUCAAAUAAACAAGAUAUAUCUGUAGAUUAUUUUAGAUUGUAUUUCUAGACGUGGGUUCAAUUCCCACCAUCUCCACCA
rnacentral:tmRNA from 1 species